CAUGUCUUUUAGAUAAUAAUUUAAAGUCUGGCCUGCCCAAUGAUUAAUUUAAUGGCCGCAGUAUUUUGACUGUGCAAAGGUAGCAUAAUCAUUAGUUUUUUAAUUGAAAGCUAGUAUGAAGGGUUUGAUAAAGAAAAAAUUGUCUCAUUAUUAAUAAUUUAAAAUUUUAUUUUUAAGUUAAAAAGCUUAAAUGUAUUAAAAAGACGAGAAGACCCUAUAGAGUUUAAUAUAAUAUUUAAUUUAAUUUAUUUAGUUUAAUUAUUUUAUAAAUAUAAAUUUGUAUUUAAUUGGGGUGAUUUAAAAAUUUAAAAAACUUUUUAAUAAUUUAACAUAAAUGUAUGAUUAAUUGAUCUUAAAUUUUGGAUUAUAAGAAAAAAUUACCUUAGGGAUAACAGCGUAAUAUUUUUUGAAAGUUCUUAUUGAAAAAAUAGAUUGCGACCUCGAUGUUGGAUUAAAAUUAAUUUUUGGUGUAGAAGCUAAAAUAUUGGGUCUGUUCGACCUUUGAAAUU
rnacentral:rRNA from 1 species